rnacentral:rRNA from 1 species
UACAGAGGGUGCAAGCGUUAAUCGGAAUUACUGGGCGUAAGGGGUGCGUAGGCGGUUCGUUAAGUCUGUCGUGAAAUCCCCGGGCUCAACCUGGGAAUGGCGAUGGAUACUGGCGAGCUAGAGUGUGUCAGAGGAUGGUGGAAUUCCCGGUGUAGCGGUGAAAUGCGUAGAGAUCGGGAGGAACAUCAGUGGCGAAGGCGGCCAUCUGGGACAACACUGACGCUGAAGCACGAAAGCGUGGGGAGCAAACAGG